rnacentral:rRNA from 1 species
GGGUUGUGAGGUUAAGUGACUAAGCGUACACGGUGGAUGCCUAGGCAGUCAGAGGCGAU